rnacentral:rRNA from 1 species
AUACGGAGGGUGCAAGCGUUGUUCGGAAUCACGGGGCGUAAAGGGCGCGCAGGCGGUUUGGUAAGUCAGAUGUGAAAGCCCACGGCUCAACCGUGGAAGUGCAUUUGAAACUGCCAGACUUGAGUACCAGAGGGGAAAGUGGAAUUCCCGGUGUAGAGGUGAAAUUCGUAGAUAUCGGGAGGAAUACCGGUGGCGAAGGCGACUUUCUGGCUGGAUACUGACGCUGAGGCGCGAAAGCGUGGGGAGCAAACAGGAUUAGAAACCCCAGUAGUCC